rnacentral:lncRNA from 1 species
CUAGUUGACUUCAACUGCAAGAGAAAUGCCAAGCUGAGACCAGUUAAGCCACAGAACUCUUUCAGAAAAGUCAUAUUUUUCUCAAAUGACCUAGCUUUUACCUUCGUUAACUCACACCUACACCCAUCUGGUGAACAACUAGCAUUAGAAGUGAAACCAGCAACCAUUUAACAGCAAACAGUAGCAGCAGCAUGCACCAAAAGAGAAUGGAAAGUGAAAAGAACACAACAGAUCAUUUUAAAAGUAAUGUGUCAAUUGCCUGGUUCUUGACUGACAGCUGAAAUUAAACAAAAAAGUGAAUUCCGUUCUACAGUGCGACAAUCUUAUGGGAACACUAGAGGAUAUCCAUAGACAGCAGAAAAAACAGCAAAAUAGAUAUUUUCACUCACAGAAAAUGAAUGUUUGCAAAGGUUCACCAAGAAAUAAAGUCAACCAAAAAAGCAAAGUCAUGGAAAAGAAAUGCAAAUCUCCACAAAAGGCAGCUUUUCAGGGCUAUUCCUGUCUGCAUGCCCUCUGAAUAACCAUCUCAAAAUAUGUUCAAGAAGUAUAUUUUGGAGGCGGCAUUGCAGAUGGGAUCUCAAAGCCAAGUCUCUACAUAUGAUGCAGGCAAACAGAUGUUUACAUGACUUGCCCCUCCUUGCCUUCUGCCAUGAUUGUGAGGCCUCUCCAGCCACAUGGAACUUUUUUCAUCCAGUGACCACCAAAUGGAGGAAUUAUGGUCUUGAAGGGGAAUGUAUCAAUCACUCAAGGAAACUAGAUAGGGGACUGAAGGUGGCAAAAGGAGGGGCAUAGCAAAUGGAAGAAGGUGUCCUAGAGUCACUCUUAAACUUUGAGAAGUUUGAGAUAUUAGGUUGGUGCAAGAGUAAUUGUAGGUUUUAUCAUUACUUUUAAGAGCACAAGGACCAAACAUAUGAAUAUUUAUACUAAAAAGUAAACUAGAGUUGCUUC